CGCAAUUUUCAUGGCAGUUCGACGGUAAACGCGGGGAGAAGCUUGCUUCUCUCCGGCGACGAGUGGCGAACGGGUGAGUAAUACAUCGGAACGUGUCCGCUCGCGGGGGACAACCAGCCGAAAGGUUGGCUAAUACCGCAUGAGUUCUACGGAAGAAAGAGGGGGACCCGCAAGGGCCUCUCGCGAGCGGAGCGGCCGAUGACUGAUUAGCCGGUUGGUGAGGUAACGGCUCACCAAAGCAACGAUCAGUAGCUGGUCUGAGAGGACGACCAGCCACACUGGGACUGAGACACGGCCCAGACUCCUACGGGAGGCAGCAGUGGGGAAUUUUGGACAAUGGGCGCAAGCCUGAUCCAGCUAUUCCGCGUGUGGGAUGAAGGCCCUCGGGUUGUAAACCACUUUUGUAGAGAACGAAAAGACACCUUCGAAUAAAGGGUGUUGCUGACGGUACUCUAAGAAUAAGCACCGGCUAACUACGUGCCAGCAGCCGCGGUAAUACGUAGGGUGCGAGCGUUAAUCGGAAUUACUGGGCGUAAAGGGUGCGCAGGCGGUUGAGUAAGACAGAUGUGAAAUCCCCGAGCUUAACUCGGGAAUGGCAUAUGUGACUGCUCGACUAGAGUGUGUCAGAGGGAGGUGGAAUUCCACGUGUAGCAGUGAAAUGCGUAGAUAUGUGGAAGAACACCGAUGGCGAAGGCAGCCUCCUGGGACAUAACUGACGCUCAGGCACGAAAGCGUGGGGAGCAAACAGGA
rnacentral:rRNA from 1 species